rnacentral:lncRNA from 1 species
UUUUCUUACGUGUGUGUGUCGAGUUUUCAUGUGAUAUAAUAAAAGAUAUUUGACAAUAAUUUCUCCUACUAAUAUUUGAAAUACAUAUUAAGAAGCUAAUAAUUGAGAUGCUCAACGAAAAUACGUAUUAACAUUUCAUGACAUUCAACAACGGUAGAUACUUAACCUGGAAAAAAACAACAAUACGACGUCGUACCACUAGCACACCUGCAUGAGCGGCAACCCACAGAGACAAUCAUUAUUACUAAACGACGACGCUUCAAGAUGAUCAAACGGAAACCCUACCGGAAUCUUCCCACACAGGCGGUUAUUACUCAGAUCCAAAUGCCCAAUAUACUUCGCCGCCGAUAACGACUUCGGAAUCGCACCUUUCAGCCGAUUAUUACUCAAAUCAAGCACCGAAAAAUACGUCAUCGGAGUAAAAACAUCCGGUAAGUGACCUUCCAGAAGAUUCCGACUCAAAUUCAGUAAAUUUAAACCGGAAUUCCUCAACAAACUCGCCGGAAUCUCGCCGGAGAUCCGGUUACUGUCUAGAUUUAGCGUAGAUAACACCGGCAUCGAUCCGAUUUGUUCAGGAAUCGUUCCGGAAAUCAUGUUUGUUGACAGAUCUAGAUCCGCAAGCCGGUAGAUCUCGGAAAUCGACGCUGGAAUUGCUCCGGUGAGUUGAUUCCGGUUGAGUAACGCUCUGCUCAUCAUCGAUAGUUUUCCGAGAUCUGCCGGAAUCCCACCGGAGAUUUUAUUAUUGCUCAAAUCUAGAUGCAUUAAGCUUUUUAAAUUCACAAUCGAUGCCGGAAUCUCACCGGAGAGUUUGUUAUCCGCGACGUUUAACACUGUGAGUUUUUCUAACUUUCCGAUGUCGGAAGGUAGUUUUCCGGUGAGCUGGUUGCCGAUAAGGUCAAGAAUGCGGAGGUGAGGUAAGGCGGUGGUACACGCCGGAAUCCCGCCGGAGAUUCCUUUCCAGUCGGCGACGAUGAGUGACGUCAGCCGGUCUAGUUGACAUAACGAAGGGGAGAGUGAACCGGUCAUGUAACCGGACCGGCCGGUUUGGGUAAAUAUCUUAUCUUCAGACUCGCCACGUAGGAUAAUAUCGUUGACCCGGCUAUCAGUCGGGUCGCAGCUUACACCGUACCAGUUAGUGCAACAGUCGGAUCCGGUCCAUGUGUUAAAAAUGCCUAAAUAGGGCUCGGUCAGGGUGGACUUGAAGGAUAAUAAUGCUGCCCGGUCUGAUGGCGGGCAAGAGGUGACCACGGUGGAGGUUGCGGCGGCGAUGAGGACUGCCACCGCCACGUGUACGCCGGUAAAGAGAACAAACAGGCAGUGUCACACACAAGCCAAACAAAGACCCAGCAAUCAAAAUUCAAAGAUUCAGCAAUAAAAGGAACUUAAUGAAAAAGAUCUCAAGUCUCGUUGUUAUAGUCUUCAAGAUGCAUUGAAGUAUAAAGACAAAUCCGAUGUUGAUGCUGAUGAACUUUAUAUGGAGUUGAAAUUGUUUGAGACAUUU